UGAAUACGAGACGCUAAGGCGUUGAAGUAGUGUAUAUCAUACUUCCAAGAAAAGCUUGCACUGUCAUAGAUAAAAAACGCCUGUACCAUAACCGACACAGGUGGGUAGGUAGAGUAUACUAAGGGGCGCGAGAUAACUCUCUCUAAGGAACUCGGCAAAAUAACUCCGUAACUUCGGGAGAAGGAGUGCCUUAUUUAUAAGGUUGCAAUAACAAGAUCCAAGCAACUGUUUAUCAAAAACACAGGUCUCCGCUAAGUCGUAAGACGAUGUAUGGGGGCUGACGCCUGCCCAGUGCCAGAAGGUUAAAGAAGUUGGUUAGCAAUAGCGAAGCUGAUAACUGAAGCCCUGGUGAACGGCGGCCGUAACUAUAACGGUCCUAAGGUAGCGAAAUUCCUUGUCGGGUAAGUUCCGACCCGCACGAAAGGCGUAAUGAUUUGGAUACUGUCUCGGAGAGGGGCUCGGUGAAAUAGACUUGUCUGUGAAGAUGCGGACUACCUGCACCAGGACAGAAAGACCCUAUGAAGCUUUACUGUAACUUGAAAUUGAAAUUGGACUUUAUUCGCGCAGUAUAGGUGGGAGGCGUUGAUUGUAAUCUUGCGGGAUUAUUGGAGCCAUCAGUGAGAUACCACCCUUGUAAUGUUAGAUUUCUAACUUUGAAUCAUUAUCUGGUCAAAGAACAGUUUCAGGCGGGCAGUUUGACUGGGGCGGUCGCCUCCUAAACGGUAACGGAGGCGUACAAAGGUUUCCUCUGAACGGUUAGAAAUCGUAUCUAGAGUGUAAAGGCAUAAGGAAGCUUGACUGUGAGACCUACAAGUCGAGCAGGGACGAAAGUCGGUCUUAGUGAUCUGACGGUACUGAGUGGAAAGGCCGUCACUCAACGGAUAAAAGUUACUCUAGGAUAACAGGCUGAUCUCCCCCAAGAGUUCACAUCGACGGGGAGGUUUGGCACCUCGAUGUCGGCUCAUCGCAUCCUGGGGCGGUAGUACGUCCCAAGGGUUGGGCUGUUCGCCCAUGAAAGCGGUACGCGAGCUGGGUUCAGAACGUCGUGAGACAGUUCGGUCCAUAUCCGGUGUAGGCGUUAGAAUAUUGAGAGGAGCCUUCUUUAGUACGAGAGGACCGAGAAGGACAUACCUCUGGUGUACCAGUUAUCGUGCCAACGGUAAACGCUGGGUAGCUAUGUAUGGAGUGGAUAACCGCUGAAAGCAUCUAAGUGGGAAGCCCACC
rnacentral:rRNA from 1 species